rnacentral:tRNA from 1 species
GCCGGGAUGGUGGAAUUGGCAGACACGUACGUUUGAGGGGCGUAUGCUUUAUAGCGUGGGGGUUCGAGUCCCCCUCCCGGCA